rnacentral:rRNA from 1 species
UACGUAGGGGGCAAGCGUUGUCCGGAUUUAUUGGGCGUAAAGAGCGUGUAGGCGGCCCUUACAGGUCAGCUGUGAAAACUCGAGGCUCAACCUCGAGACGUCGGUUGAAACCGUAAGGCUAGAGUCCGGAAGAGGAGAGUGGAAUUCCCGGUGUAGCGGUGAAAUGCGCAGAUAUCGGGAAGAACACCCGUGGCGAAGGCGGCUCUCUGGGACGGUACUGACGCGUGAUGUGCGAAAGCGUGGGGAGCAAACAGGAU